GACGAGGUGGCCGAGCGUGUUGGACUGCUAAUCCAAUGUGCUCUGCACCCAUGUGCAACGUGCAUGUGGGUUCGAAUCCCAUUCUCGUCA
rnacentral:tRNA from 1 species